AACCCUACGGGACGCAGCAGUGGGGAAUAUUGCACAAUGGGGGAAACCCUGAUGCAGCAACGCCGCGUGGGUGAAGGAGCGUUUCGGCGCGUAAAGCCCUGUCAGCGGGGAAGAAGAAAGACGGUACCCGACCAAGAAGCCCCGGCUAACUACGUGCCAGCAGCCGCGGUAAUACGUAGGGGGCGAGCGUUAUCCGGAAUUACUGGGUGUAAAGGGAGCGUAGGCGGGACGGCAAGUCAGAUGUGAAAACUGAGGGCUCAACUUUCAGACUGCAUUUGAAACUGCUGUUCUUGAGUGAAGUAGAG
rnacentral:rRNA from 1 species